UCAAGCUACUAAGGGCAUACGGUGAAUGCCUUGGCACUAAGAGCCGAUGAAGGACGUGGUAAGCUGCGAAAAGCUACGGGGAGCCGCAAGCAGGCUUUGAUCCGUAGAUGUCCGAAUGGGGAAACCCACCAUCCGUCAUGGGAUGGUAUCCUUCGGGAAGGGAACCCGGUGAACUGAAACAUCUAAGUAGCCGGAGGAAGAGAAAUCAAACGAGAUGCCCACAGUAGCGGCGAGCGAAGAGGGCAGAGCCUAAACCAGAGAGCUUCGGCUCCCUGGGGUUACGGACUGGCAUAAACCGAGUCAGGCCUAGCCGAAUCACCUGGAAAGGUGAGCCACAGACCGUGAGAGCCGGGUAGGCGAAAGGCAGAGCAAGGGGGCCAGUAUCCAGAGUACCGCGAAGCACGAGGAAUUUUGCGGGAAGUCGGGGGGACCACCCUCCAAGGCUAAAUACUACUCAGUGACCGAUAGCGCAUAGUACCGUGAGGGAAAGGUGAAAAGAACCGCGGGAGCGGAGUGAAAGAGAACCUGAAACCGUAUGUCUACAAGCAGUCGGAGCGCAAGCGACGGCGUGCCUAUUGAAGAAUGAGCCAACGAGUUACGGGCACCAGCGAGGUUAAGCAGGAAAUGCGGAGCCGUAGGGAAACCGAGUCUGAAAAGGGCGAAUAGUUGGUGUUCGUAGACCCGAAACUGUAGUGAUCUACCCAUGAUCAGGUUGAAGCACGGGUAAAAUCGUGUGGAGGACCGAACCGGUGAGUGUUGAAAAACUUUCGGAUGAAUCGUGGGUAGCGGUGAAAUUCCAAUCGAACGCGGAGAUAGCUGGUUCUCCUCGAAAUAGCUUUAGGGCUAGCCUCAGGCAGUAAGCAUAGGCGGUAGAGCACUGAUCGGGAUAGGGACUGUAAUGGUUACCGAACCCUGUCAAACUACGAAUGGUUAUGCUGCAGAGCCUGGGAGUCAGACUACGAGAGAUAAGUCCCGUUGUCAAAAGGGAAACAGCCCAGACCAUCAGCUAAGGUCCCCAAUGCCAUACUAAGUGGAAAAGGAUGUGGGGUCUCAUAAACAACCAGGAUGUUGGCUCAGAAGCAGCCACCAUUUAAAGAGUGCGUAAUAGCUCACUGGUCGAGAGACGCUGCGCCGAAAAUGUCCGGGGCUCAAGCACGGAACCGAAGCUAUGGCAUGAUAGCAAUAUCAUGGGUAGGGGAGCGUUCUUAACAGGAAGAAGCAUGACCGGAAGGACAUGUGGACCGUUAAGAAGUGAGAAUGCCGGUAUGAGUAUCGAAAAGAAAGGUGAGAAUCCUUUCCACCGAAAGCCCGAGGGUUCCUGAGCAACGAUCGUCGUCUCAGGGUAAGUCGGGACCUAAGCCGAGGCGGAGACGCAUAGGCGAUGGACAACAGGUUGAAAUUCCUGUACCGGAUACAAUCGUUUGAGCGAUGGAGCGACGCAGAAAGGCAUAUGAUCGCGCGACUGGAAGAGCGCGUCCAAGUGCGUAUGUUGAAUCGGAGGCAAAUCCCUGAUUCUGAAAGCAGAGACACGAUGGGGAGUUAUACGAAAGUAUGACGAACUCAUAGAUCCUACACUGCCAAGAAAAACUUCUAGUGAGAAAGUAUCCGCCCGUACCGUAAACCGACACAGGUAGGCGGGGAGAGAAUCCUAAGGUGCGCGGGAAAACCCUCGUUAAGGAACUCGGCAAAUUGCAUCCGUAACUUAGGGAGAAGGAUGACCUUAAGUAAGCGAAAGGGAGAAACCCCUGGAACAGAACAAGGUGGCAGAAAAGAGGCCCAAGCAACUGUUUACCAAAAACACAGGUGCCUGCGAAAGCGAAAGCUGAAGUAUAGGUGCUGACGCCUGCCCGGUGCUGGAAGGUUAAGGAGAGAUGUCAGAGCAAUCGAAGCAUUGAACUGAAGCCCCAGUGAACGGCGGCCGUAACUAUAACGGUCCUAAGGUAGCGAAAUUCCUUGUCGGGUAAGUUCCGACCCGCAUGAAAGGCGUAAUGAUUUGGGCACUGUCUCAACGAGGGGCCCGGUGAAAUUGAAAUACCUGUGAAGAUGCAGGUUACCCGCGACUGGACAGAAAGACCCCAUGGAGCUUCACUGCAGCUUGAGAUUGAAUCUCGGUGAUGCAUGCACAGGAUAGGUGGGAGACUUUGAAGUAUGGGCUUUGGCUUAUACCGAGUCGAUGUUGGGAUACCACCCUUGUAUUGCUGAGAUUCUAACACGGAGGCUAACAACCUCGUGGACCAUCUCAGGUAGGCGGUUUGACUGGGGCGGUCGCCUCCGAAAGAGUAACGGAGGCGCCCAAAGGUUCCCUCAGGUCGGACAGAAACCGACCGAAGAGUGCAAAGGCAGAAGGGAGCUUGACUGCGAGACAGACAAGUCGAGCAGAGACGAAAGUCGGGCUUAGUGAUCCGGUGGUACUGAGUGGAAAGGCCAUCGCUCAACGGAUAAAAGCUACCCUGGGGAUAACAGGCUAAUCUCUCCCAAGAGUUCAUAUCGACGGGGAGGUUUGGCACCUCGAUGUCGGCUCAUCACAUCCUGGAGCUGGAGUAGGUUCCAAGGGUUGGGCUGUUCGCCCAUUAAAGUGGUACGCGAGCUGGGUUCAAAACGUCGUGAGACAGUUUGGUUCAUAUCCAUCGCGGGCGCAAGAAGUUUGAGGGAGGCUGCUCCUAGUACGAGAGGACCGGAGUGGACGGAUCAACGGUGUACCAGUUGUCACGCCAGUGGCACGGCUGGAAAGCCGCAUCCGGAAAGGAUAAACGCUGAAAGCAUCUAAGCGUGAAGCCCGUCCCGAGAUGAGACUUCUCAUCAGCAAUGAGUAAGACCCCUUAAAGACGAUGAGGUUGAUAGGCUGUGAGUGGAAGGCCCGUAAGGGUUGGAGCGACGCAGUACUAAUAGGUCGAGGUCUUAACUUG
rnacentral:rRNA from 1 species